GUGUCGAUGAAGAGCGCAGCCAACUGUGUGAAUUAAUGUGAAUCGCAGACUGCUUUGAACAUCGACCUCUUGAACGCACAUUGCGGCCGUAGGCCUGCCUACGGCCACGUCUGGCCGAGGGUCGGCU
rnacentral:rRNA from 1 species